GGUGCGGGCUUGCGGACACCCAGGGGGUGAGGUCAGAGGUCUCCGGGUCUAAAGCAGGUGGAGGGAAGGGUGUGGGUUUAUUCGCAUGAGCAAGUUCCUGAACUAAAUGAUUGCCUACGUGUAAACGCUUCUAAAAGCGUCUGCCACAGAGCAAGCUCUCAAUAGGGUUACCUGUGUCACUCUCAAUAACUAAAUGCCAAGAGUGGUGGUUUCUGGAAGUAAAACAUGAACUCUGCCCUCCGCUCAGAAUCUCCUGAGGAAAAGAAACAUGUAAACAAUAGUUCUUAGGGCCGCCAGUAUUAUUAAAACGGUGUGUAUGAGGAGUUUGACAAACUCACCUGGAGGGGAGGACUUUGCAGUAUGGUGUCCCACCUCUGCCCUCUGAGGUAGAUAGCAGGUCUGGGAUAGGACCAGAAAUUCUGCGCUUCUAACAAGCUUCCAAGGAUGUGGGUGCCGAUGAUCCACAGACCUUCCUUUGUGCAGCAGGCCAUUAAACAACCAAAGCACCUUGGGCUUCAAAAAAUAAUGGUGCCACUCAAUGCCCUGAUUCCUUCUCUACAACAUGGAUGGACCCUGCCCAAAGAGCCUCCUGGGAACAAUCAGAUGGACACCAAUUGACUUAAAAAAUCCUUGGAGAAAUAACCCACUUAUCUGGAAAUCUCCUCACCUUUUAAGACCACACACAAAAGUUAACAACAACAAAACCUACAGAAAGAAGACACAGAAGUUCUCAGGCCAACCAGAAAAGACAUCUCAAAGUGUUUAUAGGGAGGCUCCCAUUCCAUGGAAGUCUCCAAGAACUCAUACUGUACAGGUCAUGCUCAGGGUGACCUGUGGGAAACAGGCAUCAUUUUUCCUGGGGAUACCUUAUUGCAUAAAUGGUCACUAAAUUUGUAAGUGCCCUAAAACCUCCCACACUCUCUCAGCCUCUCUGGCCAUCUGCAAGAAAACA